rnacentral:rRNA from 1 species
CUGUGAGCUCGAUGAGUAGGGCGGGACACGUGGUAUCCUGUCUGAAUAUGGGGGGACCAUCCUCCAAGGCUAAAUACUCCUGACUGACCGAUAGUGAACCAGUACCGUGAGGGAAAGGCGAAAAGAACCCCGGCGAGGGGAGUGAAAAAGAACCUGAAACCGUGUACGUACAAGCAGUGGGAGCCUCUUAAUGGGGUGACUGCGUACCUUUUGUAUAAUGGGUCAGCGACUUAUAUUCUGUAGCAAGGUUAACCGAAUAGGGGAGCCGAAGGGAAACCGAGUCUUAACUGGGCGUUAAGUUGCAGGGUAUAGACCCGAAACCCGGUGAUCUAGCCAUGGGCAGGUUGAAGGUUGGGUAACACUAACUGGAGGACCGAACCGACUAAUGUUGAAAAAUUAGCGGAUGACUUGUGGCUGGGGGUGAAAGGCCAAUCAAACCGGGAGAUAGCUGGUUCUCCCCGAAAGCUAUUUAGGUAGCGCCUCGUGAAUUCAUCUCCGGGGGUAGAGCACUGUUUCGGCAAGGGGGUCAUCCCGACUUACCAACCCGAUGCAAACUGCGAAUACCGGAGAAUGUUAUCACGGGAGACACACGGCGGGUGCUAACGUCCGUCGUGAAGAGGGAAACAACCCAGACCGCCAGCUAAGGUCCCAAAGUCAUGGUUAAGUGGGAAACGAUGUGGGAAGGCCCAGACAGCCAGGAUGUUGGCUUAGAAGCAGCCAUCAUUUAAAGAAAGCGUAAUAGCUCACUGGUCGAGUCGGCCUGCGCGGAAGAUGUAACGGGGCUAAACCAUGCACCGAAGCUGCGGCAGCGACGUUUAUGCGUUGUUGGGUAGGGGAGCGUUCUGUAAGCCUGCGAAGGUGUACUGUGAGGUAUGCUGGAGGUAUCAGAAGUGCGAAUGCUGACAUAAGUAACGAUAAAGCGGGUGAAAAGCCCGCUCGCCGGAAGACCAAGGGUUCCUGUCCAACGUUAAUCGGGGCAGGGUGAGUCGACCCCUAAGGCGAGGCCGAAAGGCGUAGUCGAUGGGAAACAGGUUAAUAUUCCUGUACUUGGUGUUACUGCGAAGGGGGGACGGAGAAGGCUAUGUUGGCCGGGCGACGGUUGUCCCGGUUUAAGCGUGUAGGCUGGUUUUCCAGGCAAAUCCGGAAAAUCAAGGCUGAGGCGUGAUGACGAGGCACUACGGUGCUGAAGCAACAAAUGCCCUGCUUCCAGGAAAAGCCUCUAAGCAUCAGGUAACAUCAAAUCGUACCCCAAACCGACACAGGUGGUCAGGUAGAGAAUACCAAGGCGCUUGAGAGAACUCGGGUGAAGGAACUAGGCAAAAUGGUGCCGUAACUUCGGGAGAAGGCACGCUGAUAUGUAGGUGAAGUCCCUCGCGGAUGGAGCUGAAAUCAGUCGAAGAUACCAGCUGGCUGCAACUGUUUAUUAAAAACACAGCACUGUGCAAACACGAAAGUGGACGUAUACGGUGUGACGCCUGCCCGGUGCCGGAAGGUUAAUUGAUGGGGUUAGCGGUAACGCGAAGCUCUUGAUCGAAGCCCCGGUAAACGGCGGCCGUAACUAUAACGGUCCUAAGGUAGCGAAAUUCCUUGUCGGGUAAGUUCCGACCUGCACGAAUGGCGUAAUGAUGGCCAGGCUGUCUCCACCCGAGACUCAGUGAAAUUGAACUCGCUGUGAAGAUGCAGUGUACCCGCGGCAAGACGGAAAGACCCCGUGAACCUUUACUAUAGCUUGACACUGAACAUUGAGCCUUGAUGUGUAGGAUAGGUGGGAGGCUUUGAAGUGUGGACGCCAGUCUGCAUGGAGCCGGCCUUGAAAUACCACCCUUUAAUGUUUGAUGUUCUAACGUUGGCCCCUUACCGGGGUUGCGGACAGUGUCUGGUGGGUAGUUUGACUGGGGCGGUCUCCUCCUAAAGAGUAACGGAGGAGCACGAAGGUUGGCUAAUCCUGGUCGGACAUCAGGAGGUUAGUGCAAUGGCAUAAGCCAGCUUGACUGCGAGCGUGACGGCGCGAGCAGGUGCGAAAGCAGGUCAUAGUGAUCCGGUGGUUCUGAAUGGAAGGGCCAUCGCUCAACGGAUAAAAGGUACUCCGGGGAUAACAGGCUGAUACCGCCCAAGAGUUCAUAUCGACGGCGGUGUUUGGCACCUCGAUGUCGGCUCAUCACAUCCUGGGGCUGAAGUAGGUCCCAAGGGUAUGGCUGUUCGCCAUUUAAAGUGGUACGCGAGCUGGGUUUAGAACGUCGUGAGACAGUUCGGUCCCUAUCUGCCGUGGGCGCUGGAGAACUGAGGGGGGCUGCUCCUAGUACGAGAGGACCGGAGUGGACGCAUCACUGGUGUUCGGGUUGUCAUGCCAAUGGCACUGCCCGGUAGCUAAAUGCGGAAGAGAUAAGUGCUGAAAGCAUCUAAGCACGAAACUUGCCCCGAGAUGAGUUCUCCCUGA